rnacentral:rRNA from 1 species
UACGUAGGCAGCGAGCGUUGUCCGGAUUUAUUGGGCGUAAAGAGCGUGUAGGCGGCUUUACAGGUCCGUUGUGAAAACUCGAGGCUCAACCUCGAGACGCCGGUGGAAACCGUAAGGCUAGAGUCCGGAAGAGGAGAGUGGAAUUCCUGGUGUAGCGGUGAAAUGCGCAGAUAUCAGGAGGAACACCCGUGGCGAAAGCGGCUCUCUGGGACGGUACUGACGCUGAGACGCGAAAGCGUGGGGAGCAAACAGG